AGUGAACGCUGGCGGUAGGCCUAACACAUGCAAGUCGAACGGCAGCACAGUAAGAGCUUGCUCUUACGGGUGGCGAGUGGCGGACGGGUGAGGAAUACAUCGGAAUCUACUUUUUCGUGGGGGAUAACGUAGGGAAACUUACGCUAAUACCGCAUACGACCUACGGGUGAAAGCAGGGGAUCUUUUGACCUUGCGCGAUUGAAUGAGCCGAUGUCGGAUUAGCUAGUUGGCGGGGUAAAGGCCCACCAAGGCGACGAUCCGUAGCUGGUCUGAGAGGAUGAUCAGCCACACUGGAACUGAGACACGGUCCAGACUCCUACGGGAGGCAGCAGUGGGGAAUAUUGGACAAUGGGCGCAAGCCUGAUCCAGCCAUACCGCGUGGGUGAAGAAGGCCUUCGGGUUGUAAAGCCCUUUUGUUGGGAAAGAAAAGCAGCAGGUUAAUACCCCGCUGUUCUGACGGUACCCAAAGAAUAAGCACCGGCUAACUUCGUG
rnacentral:rRNA from 1 species